rnacentral:rRNA from 1 species
GUUAGGAAUAUUGGACAAUGGGCGCAAGCCUGAUCCAGCCAUGCCGCGUGAGUGAUGAAGGCCUUCGGGUUGUAAAGCUCUUUAGCCGAUGAUUAUAAUGACUGUAGUCGGAAAAUAAGCCCCGGCUAACUUCGUGCCAGCAGCCGCGGUAAUACGAAGGGGGCGAGCGUUAUUCGGAAUCACUGGGCGUAAAGCGUGCGUAGGCGUCUUUGCAAGUUGGGAGUGAAAGCCCAGGGCUUAACGCUGGAAUUGCUAUCAAAACUGCAAGGCUCGAAUGCGGGAGAGUAUAGCGGAAUAGGCAGUGUAGCAGUGAAAUGCGUAGAUAUUGACAGGAACACCAGUGGCGUAAGCGGCUAUCUGGACCGAUAUUGACGCUGAGGCACGAAAGCGUGGGGAUCAAACAGGAUUAGAAACCCUUGUAGUCC